AUUGAACGCUGGCGGCAUGCUUUACACAUGCAAGUCGAACGGUAACAGGUUAAGCUGACGAGUGGCGAACGGGUGAGUAAUGCAUCGGAACGUGCCCGAUCGUGGGGGAUAACGCAGCGAAAGCUGCGCUAAUACCGCAUACGAUCUGAGGAUGAAAGCGGGGGACCGUAAGGCCUCGCGCGAUCGGAGCGGCCGAUGUCAGGUUAGGUAGUUGGUGAGGUAAAGGCCCACCAAGCCGACGAUCUGUAGCUGGUCUGAGAGGACGACCAGCCACACUGGGACUGAGACACGGCCCAGACUCCUACGGGAGGCAGCAGUGGGGAAUUUUGGACAAUGGGCGAAAGCCUGAUUCAGCAAUGCCGCGUGCAGGAAGAAGGCCUUCGGGUUGUAAACUGCUUUUGUACGGAGCGAAAAGGUCCUUUCUAAUACAAGGGGCUCAUGACGGUACCGUAAGAAUAAGCACCGGCUAACUACGUGCCAGCAGCCGCAGUAA
rnacentral:rRNA from 1 species